UGGUCUCCUUAGAUUCUUCUAUUAAGCUCACUGUGGUGGUGUCUGAACUUCAGAUCAGUGUCCCAUAAUUACAGUCACACAGAGCACAAUCAACAAUUAUCAGUGAUCACUUUUCAGAUCUCACAACAAAGAAAUGUUAUCUGAGAAACUGCUGCAGGAUUUCAGAUUUCCAAAUAUUUGCACUUCUAAUUAAGCAGAUGGAAGACCUGCUGUUAAUGAGAAAGCAGGUCUCAGAACUUCUUCCAUAGCUAAUUUCUGCCCAGACCAAAAUAAAUUAUGCUGCAACAAUUCUUUUCCAAGGUAAAUAACACACCACACUGCCUGGCAAAGUGCCUAACAACAACAAAAAACCCAAAGAUGUGUUUAAAGGUAUUGCACUCAGUGGGAGAUUUUCACACCACAGUAAUAAAUGCAACACAGCAAAAACCUACAGCCAGCAGAAGGGAAUGCCUUCUUAUCUAACUGCUCUGGAGGAUAUUUGCUGAUCAAUCCUAUGAAAGGAUGAUAUGCUUCUCUGUGUGUCCAGGGGAUGAAAUAACAAGCCUGAAGGCAAUAAUGCUCUCAUAUCAUGUUUGAGAAUUUUACAAAUACAGCAUGAGGCUCUGUGACUCAGUCUGAAUGGAAUUUUUCUUAGCACAUGAAUUUUACAUGAUAUUUCAAUACCAGUUCUUUGGGGCAGCUUUCCUAACACAGCGAGAUGUGAGUUUUCAGGUGCUUUUUUAUCGUACUGGUAAAUACCGUGGAGCAUUUUGUGAACUACGUGAGGAAGGCUAACAAACCUGAAAAUCUGAAAAUUACAGGCAUAUUUAGUUUGUCUCUUUUUUACCCCUGAAAACUUUCUGGUGCCUUUUUUUCUUUUCCUUAGAAAGUAGAAAUUAAAAGCACCAAAGAAUAAAAAGAAUUUAGUGCAGCCUUCACGUGUGCUUUUUUCGUGUGUGUGUGUGUGUUUUGGUUUUGUUUUUUUUUUUCCCACGAUCUCUCCUUAAUCUUUAAUUCUGCCUCUGGUUAAACAAAUAUCCUCAGGUUCCAGAUUAAUUAAAAAAAAACAUCAAGUAGAUAGGUAGCUUUUUUUUUUUUUUUUCUUUUUACCAACAACAGAAAUCCAUUUCUUUUUGUUGUUUCCAAAUCUCUGAAAGCAACAAUUCUUGUAAUUAUCAAAUUUCCAUAUAGAAAACUAGAAUGUGUGUGGGGGUGUAAUAGCACAAUCUGAUAUUCCUGUAGCACCAGUUUUCUAUAAAUAGGGAAAUCUGUUAUUUAUCACUGGAACUAUUCAUUAAAAUAAAAAUAUAUAUAUAUACAGUAUGGGCAUCUGUUCCUAGAUCUUCAGCUGACUGACAGUUUUUAAUCCACUUAGCUAAUGUUAAAUGGAACUUGCUGGAAACAGCCUUUCUGAGGGGUCUUUUCAGCUUAGUCCUGAUCUGCUCUUAUGCUCUUUCUCAUGAUCUUUGGAAAUGUGUUUGUUUUUUAAAGUUUGACUAAAAUGAUAUAAAUGUUUUCCAUUGUAUAGAAGAAAGCUGAAAAUGUGAUUUUCUAAAGGAUCAGAAAGAGUGUAAACCAAAGAAUAUAAAAAGUAUUCUUUCUUUUUUAUUUCUUUUCCCCAAGAAAACAUGACAUAUUUCCAUGACAUUGGGAGGGCCUGGUGAAAGAAUAUUUAGACUGUAAUAAUAUUUAUAAUACACUAUUUUUUUUUAAUAUUUCCAGUGUUGCUGAAGUUGUACUGAUCUAUGCCAUAGCAUCACAUAUUAUUAGUUCUUUAUGAUAGGGUCUACAAAGCAACUACGUCACUUCAGCAUGCUUACCACACUUUUGUUUUAAGCCCAAACCACCCACUCUUACCAAUAGGAGUACACAACGUCAGUGUGUGAGGGGCACCUACAUGUUAGCAUUUGUGUUUUCUAUCCGUAUCUUCAAUCCUCACAUAAAUAUUUGGUCAAGGAUUUUCAUUGCUGCUGCCUCAAAACAAUGGCUAGCACUUCAGCAGUGGAACAGCACUUAUAUGACAUCCAAAUUCAGGUAAAUACUGGCAAAAUACUAUUGAACAUUUUUGUAUCUUGUAAUUAUUGUUCACAUCUUUAUACUAAGGUUUUCACCCUACAUUUGUACAUUAAACUUUUCCAGUGAAGGAUUCUAAGUCUGCCAGGACUUCCACCUGUGUUCACUGGUGUGAAUUUGCAGAUGGACUGGGAGAGUUUGUCCCUCCACCCCUCCUGCUGAUUUACGUGAAUGGAGGUUUGAUCGCUUCUGUUGUCAGCAUUUGUUUUCUUUUCUACUUGAGGCAUAUCUUAUGUGUAGAGCAAUAAAUAACAUAAUUCUAGCUCUAUGGCUUCAGAUGGCACAGUGCCCUCUGCUCGAACUCUUUGGAGAGGGAAAUGCUCCAGCUUACCGUCAGAGUUUCAUUUGCAAGCUUUACUUUGCCUUAGUCUUAUUUUAAAAAUUUCAAAGCUUUGCCUCCACAAAUCAGGUUAAACUGUACAUUACAAGGGAACUGCUUGACCUUGAAGCAAUCCUUUUUGAGGCAGAGGUGACGAAGGGGUUGGCAGGCAGGAUUUAUUGUGCUCUGAGGAAUGCAGAGGGAGCACAUGAACAUAAAUAUACAGAGAAACAGGAGCGGGAAUCGCAGAUGGAUCUGGCAGAUAAGACUUGGGCCUGUAUCUGUAAGUAGGUCAAAAGUGUGAUGGUAUCAUCUCCAAUGGAAAUACAAUUCAAAAUCUGGUCUGGGUGGUAUAUGAUGCCAGACAAGCUUCAUUGGAAACAUAAAACAUUAUCUCCAUUAUUCUGGUAAGACUGCAGAGUAAGUAGGAUAGUCAACAUAAAUUAUAGGCUUGAGAAGUUAGGUACAAAAUAUAUAAGGUAACUGGAAAUAUUGCACAGAAAACCAUCCUACUGAGCAAUGCCAAAGCUGUGUGGCCUGCAUGCUGAAGGACUUGGAGUGCUGCUCAACAAAGCCAGUGGAAGCAGAAGAAAGCUAGUGAUAGCUACUUGUCCACUGAAGAGUAUGUGAGCAUGACACACCUGAGCUGAUUCCCUUGGUCCCCAUUCCACAAAGAAAGAGGAAGAAAAAAGAAGCAGAAAGGUUGGAUGUUGCUAGCAGGUAGUCCGGGCUCUUGCAAAAAAGGUCUUUGAUACUUCAGCUGGCCCAGAGAGAAAGAGGAAAAAAUAAUGAAAACAUUGAAAGAGAGGUGUAGUGAACAGAAAUGAAAGGAGAUGAGUAGGCGUGGGAAAAAGAGUCAGAACAAGCAGAGUUGAAGAGUCAGAACAGACUACAUGUUUACUUUCUUUAAAAAGGUAAUGUCUGCUCAAUUUCUGUGAAGAGUUGUGCUUGCUGUCCUUCUCACUUGAAAAACAAUGCCACUGUGACUGAGAGCCAAGCUUGUGAAGCUUCUCACAGGCAUCUAAAGCUCCUUUUGGAAGCCCUGGCCACUUCCCAGGACAGGAUGCUAGACUAGAUUGAGAGACAGCCUAAUGCAUUCAAACAAUACCUAGAGUGCAGCAGAGUACCAUCUGGCUGUUUGGGGAUACAGGGUUUGCUACUUGUGACUGCAGAGGAUCAACAUUGCUCCAAGAAAAGCAGUUUCAGGAGCUGACUGCAAAAGCCCGGCCUGGAGUUUUUAUGGAGGAUAUAUACCGUUAAUGGUGACAUUGGUGUCAGUAACAGAACGUGAACAGCAGCGGUGCCUGUGCUCUAUUCCCAGUAACAGUUGAAUCUACACAAAGGAGAGCUGCGCUGACUACCCUCUCCUCAGAAAAAAGCUCCUGCUGGAGGCUGCACCUUUGGAGCCUCCUGUGAACCUGAGUAUGAAGAGCAGAACCUGAGGCAACCCAGUCUCACCGAGUCCAUCACCGGCUCAUUUCCUUGUUCCUCCUUUGUGGCAAGGUGGGCUGGGACUGAGUGUAAUGCCCAAGGUAAACAUGCAUCAUGCUGUCUGCUAAAAUGAUGCCACAGGAUUAUAGUAUUUUCUUUAUUGUUUUUUAAACACUUUCUCACAAAGACUGAUGCCUGUAUUUUUCAACCACCUCUGCACAGUCAGCAGACACUUUCCUUGAGCUGUACCUACUGAUGUGUUUUGAGAUGCUUAAUAGUAAUUCAAAUCCCUGCCACGUGCAUGCGCAGUUUGUAGUGUUAUCUAUUUACUACUUUUUUUCUUUUGCCUUCAUUUAAUGUCAUUCACUCUCUGUUUUCUUCAUCCUGUCAAUCUCUGCAGCUUCUCAUACCUCUCCAUUUGACUCACCUACCUAAUUUUAUGUGACAUUAACUUUGUCACCUUUGCUCUUCACAGUGGUCUUCAAAUCCUUAAUAAAUGUCCCAAGCACACAUCUUAUUUUUAAUCCCUGGUGCACCCUACCCUUUCCAUGCUGAGAUGGACCAUUUGUUCCUACUCUUUGUUUCCACUCUCUCAACCACGGGCUUUUUUCUCCCACUAUCCAUGCAGGACUUUACCUCUCACCUUGUGGUUAUUAAGUUUCCUUUAUAGCCUCUUCUCAGGAACUUUAUCAAAAGCCUUUUGAAAGCCUAAAUAAAAUAUAGCCAUUGGUUGUCCUUUAUCUGCUGUUUUGUUA